GACGAACGCUGGCGGCGUGCUUAACACAUGCAAGUCGAACGGAAAGGCCCUGCUUUUGUGGGGUGCUCGAGUGGCGAACGGGUGAGUAACACGUGAGUAACCUGCCCUUGACUUUGGGAUAACUUCAGGAAACUGGGGCUAAUACCGGAUAGGAGCUCCUGCUGCAUGGUGGGGGGUGGAGAGUUUCGGCGGUUGGGGAUGGACUCGCGGCUUAUCAGCUUGUUGGUGGGGUAGUGGCGUACCAAGGCUUUGACGGGUAGCCGGCCUGAGAGGGUGACCGGCCACAUUGGGACUGAGAUACGGCCCAGACUCCUACGGGAGGCAGCAGGGGGGAAUAUUGCACAAUGGGCGGAAGCCUGAUGCAGCAACGCCGCGUGCGGGAUGACGGCCUUCGGGUUGUAAACCGCUUUCGCCUGUGACGAAGAGUGAGUGACGGUAAUGGGUAAAGAAGCACCGGCUAACUACGUG
rnacentral:rRNA from 1 species